CCACAGAACUUUCCAGAGAUGGAUUGGUGCCUUCGGGAACUGUGAGACAGGUGCUGCAUGGCUGUCGUCAGCUCGUGUUGUGAAAUGUUGGGUUAAGUCCCGCAACGAGCGCAACCCUUAUCCUUUGUUGCCAGCGGUUCGGCCGGGAACUCAAAGGAGACUGCCAGUGAUAAACUGGAGGAAGGUGGGGAUGACGUCAAGUCAUCAUGGCCCUUACGACCAGGGCUACACACGUGCUACAAUGGCAUAUACAAAGAGAAGCGACCUCGCGAGAGCA
rnacentral:rRNA from 1 species